CCUACGGGAGGCAGCAGUGGGGAAUUUUGGACAAUGGGCGCAAGCCUGAUCCAGCAAUGCCGCGUGUGUGAAGAAGGCCUUCGGGUUGUAAAGCACUUUUGUCCGGAAAGAAAUCCUUGGCUCUAAUACGGUCGGGGGAUGACGGUACCGGAAGAAUAAGCACCGGCUAACUACGUGCCAGCAGCCGCGGUAAUA
rnacentral:rRNA from 1 species